UAGCCUUCGUCAUGGCGACCAGAUGGCACCAGGAGACAUGGAGCCCCCUGGCCAGUGUCCCGUGUGAGUAGUAGCAGUGCAGCAGGGGAGAUCCUGAAGGAGAGAGCCCGCCUAAGUUGAUGCCUGCAGAUUGAAUUUCCAGAGGCUUAGGAGGAGGAAGCUCUCCA
ensembl:misc_RNA